AGCGAACGCUGGCGGCGGGCUUAACACAUGCAAGUCGAACGGGCACUUCGGUGCUAGUGGCAGACGGGUGAGUAACGCGUGGGAACGUGCCUUUCGGUUCGGAAUAAUCCAGGGAAACUUGGACUAAUACCGGGUACGCCCUUCGGGGGACAGAUUUAUCGCCGAAAGAUCGGCCCGCGUCUGAUUAGCUAGUUGGUGAGGUAAAGGCUCACCAAGGCGACGAUCAGUAGCUGGUCUGAGAGGAUGAUCAGCCCCAUGGGGACUGAGACACGGCCCAAACUCCUACGGGAGGCAGCAGUGGGGAAUAUUGGACAAGGGGCGCAAGCCUGAUCCAGCCAUGCCGCGUGAGUGAUGAAGGCCUUAGGGUUGUAAAGCUCUUUUGUCCGGGAAGAUAAUGACUGUACCGGAAGAAUAAGCCCCGGCUAACUUCGUGCCAGCCGCCGCGGUAA
rnacentral:rRNA from 1 species